AUUGAACGCUGGCGGCAUGCCUUACACAUGCAAGUCGAACGGCAGCACGGGGGCAACCCUGGUGGCGAGUGGCGAACGGGUGAGUAAUGCAUCGGAACGUGUCCUCUUGUGGGGGAUAACCAGUCGAAAGAUUGGCUAAUACCGCAUGAGAUCGAGAGAUGAAAGCGGGGGACCCGAGGGUAACUUCGGGCCCCGCGCGAGAGGAGCGGCCGAUGCCGGAUUAGCUAGUUGGUGGGGUAAGAGCCUACCAAGGCGACGAUCCGUAGCUGGUCUGAGAGGACGACCAGCCACACUGGGACUGAGACACGGCCCAGACUCCUACGGGAGGCAGCAGGU
rnacentral:rRNA from 1 species